rnacentral:misc_RNA from 1 species
AAAAUGCGAUAAGUAGCGUGAAUUGCAGACGCUUUGAACGUUAAACUUUCGAACGCACAUUGCGCCAUAGGAGUCUUACCCUAUGGCACAUCUGGUUGAGGGUCGUGAUCAAAGAAACAGCUAGUCUUAGGCUGUAGUAAUUGGCUAAUUGGCGAUUCAUCAGACCGGCAUCUGUCCAAUUGUCGGUGGUGUUCCGUCAUAAUGCUCGUAGAGGGUACCCACUAUGCCGGACUUGCGCAUAACUGGGGGUACUUCCUUGCCACACGGACGGCCAGGCAUUUCGACUGCCAUAUGGGCCGGCCGCCAGGUAUCAUACUUACAUAUACUCUAGGGCGUCUGGGAUACAGCUAGUAUGCCCCAUACGUGCUUGGUUUUGAGAGUUUUCGCUCUCCCGACCUCA